rnacentral:rRNA from 1 species
AUUGAACGCUGGCGGCAGGCUUAACACAUGCAAGUCGAGCGGGGGAAGGUAGCUUGCUACCGGACCUAGCGGCGGACGGGUGAGUAAUGCUUAGGAAUCUGCCUAUUAGUGGGGGACAACAUCUCGAAAGGGAUGCUAAUACCGCAUACGUCCUACGGGAGAAAGCAGGGGAUCUUCGGACCUUGCGCUAAUAGAUGAGCCUAAGUCGGGUUAGCUAGUUGGUGGGGUAAAGGCCUACCAAGGCGACGAUCUGUAGCGGGUCUGAGAGGAUGAUACGCCACACGGGGACUGAGACACGGCCCCGACUCCUACGGGGGGCAGCAGUGGGGAAUAUUGGACAAUGGGGGGAACCCUGAUCCAGCCAUGCCGCGUGUGUGAAGAAGGCCUUAUGGUUGUAAAGCACUUUAAGCGAGGAGGAGGCUCUUUUGGUUAAUACCCAGGGAUAGUGGACGUUACUCGCGGAAUAAGCACCGGCUAACUCUGUGCCAGCCGCCGCCGUAA